rnacentral:rRNA from 1 species
UACGUAGGGGGCAAGCGUUGUCCGGAUUUAUUGGGCGUAAAGAGCGUGUAGGCGGCCUGAAAGGUCAGCUGUGAAAACUCGAGGCUCAACCUCGAGACGUCGGUUGAAACCGUACGGCUAGAGUCCGGAAGAGGAGAGUGGAAUUCCCGGUGUAGUGGUGGAAUGCGUAGAGAUCGGGAGGAACACCCGUGGCGAAGGCGGUGGCCUGGACCUGUGCUGACGCUGAGGCGCGAAAGCGUGGGGAGCGAUCCGG